AGGACGCCGAAGGUGGGGCUAAUGACUGGGGUGAAGUCGUAACAAGGUAGCCGUACCGGAAGGUGCGGCUGGAUCACCUCCUAACAGGGAGACAACAAAAUGUUUAAUAUUAAUUUUGUCACCUUAGGUCGAUCGGUAUCUCACAUUCUUAAUUUAUUAAGGAUUUUAUUUCCUAAGUUUUUUCUAGGUCACACCCAUUACUUUUCCUGGGCCAUUAGCUCAGGUGGUUAGAGCGCACCCCUGAUAAGGGUGAGGUCCCUGGUUCAAGUCCAGGAUGGCCCAUAUCUCUAUGUUGGGGGUAUAGCUCAGUUGGUAGAGCGCCUGCUUUGCAAGCAGGAUGUCAGCGGUUCGAGUCCGCUUACCUCCACUGUUCACCACCUCUUCCAUAAUUUGUAGUAGGGAAUUGUUUUGAGUUGUGAUCAAAUUCUGAACGAAUCUAGCUUCCUAAUCAAUUUGAUUAAGAUGCUGGACUCAAUUGAAUUAAUUUGAUUGUUUUCAGAGAACCUUGACAACUGCAUAGAUUAUUUUUUUUAAAGACAAUAAGCAUCUUUAAUGAUGCAGAUUUAUUAUUUGUGCAAAUGCAUUAAAUAACAAUUCUAUUAAGCUGAUGCUUCAAUUUUGAAGUUAUUGGUCAAGCUACAAAGGGCUCACGGAGG
rnacentral:misc_RNA from 1 species